ensembl:snRNA
AUAUUAAUUAAAAGAGAGAAGGUUAGCCCUCCCCUUGACAAGGAUGGAAGAGGCUUAGGCCUGCAACACACAUAUGGUUAAGCAUUGCCACCUACUUCAAAACUCUUAACCCCAUCUCUUC